rnacentral:rRNA from 1 species
GUCCUACGGGGGGCAGCAGUGGGGAAUAUUGCACAAUGGGGGAAACCCUGAUGCAGCGACGCCGCGUGAGUGAAGAAGUAUCUCGGUACGUAAAGCUCUAUCAGCAGGGAAGAAAAAAAGUCUUUGGCUUUGGACGGUACCUGACUAAGAAGCCCCGGCUAACUACGUGCCAGCAGCCGCGGUAAUACGUAGGGGGCAAGCGUUAUCCGGAUUUACUGGGUGUAAAGGGAGCGUAGACGGCUAAUCAAGUCAGAAGUGAAAACCCAGGGCUCAACCUUGGGACUGCUUUUGAAACUGAGUAGCUA